ACGGAGGGGGCAAGCGUUGUUCGGAAUUACUGGGCGUAAAGCGCGCGUAGGCGGCGAUGCAAGUCAGAGGUGAAAUGCCCGGGCUCAACCUGGGAGGUGCCUUUGAUACUGUGUUGCUUGGAUCCAGGAGAGGUGAGCGGAAUUCCGAGUUGUGAGAGG
rnacentral:rRNA from 1 species